rnacentral:rRNA from 1 species
GACGAACGCUGGCGGCGUGCCUAAUACAUGCAAGUCGAACGCAGUGGGGACGGGUGAGUAACACGUGGGUAACCUCCCAUCAGAGGGGAUAACACUUGGAAACAGGUGAUAAACCUACAGUGAUGGAUGGAUCCGCGGGGCAUGAGCUAGUUGGUAAGGUAACGGCGCACCAAGGCCACGAUGCAUAGCCGAGCUGAGAGGAUGAUCGGCAACACUGGGACUGAGACACGGCCCAGACUCCUACGGGAGGCAGCAGUAGGGAAUCUUCGGCAAUGGACGAAAGUCUGACCGAGCAACGCCGCGUGAGUGAAGAAGGUUUUCGGAUCGUAAAGCUCUGUUGUUAGAGAAGCGGUAACUAACCAGAAAGCCACGGCUAACUACGUGCCAGCAGCCGCGGUAAUAC